UUCCUCAGAAGGUGUCCUUGAAGCACAGGCAGAUGCCCAAUCCCCCUCAACUGGCUCCUUUUGAUGUGGAGGACUAACUAGUGGGUCUUCUGUGUUACUCCACCCACUGGAGCAACCUGCUGCUUGUAUCUGUGAUCGUAUUCUUUUAGAGCCACAGGAAACUAGCAUACUUGAACUCCUCCACUCAAGGCAACAACUCAUCCCUAACCUGGAGCACAGAGUCCACCCUUUUCUUCUGCUGACAACUGGAAACUCCAAACUCUGAGUGGAGAGCCUCACCAAAAGCAACUAGAGGUUUCAGAUUCAGUGCCCCACACAGCCAUUUCUAGAAGACCUUAACCUACCCAGUAGGAGUCAGUGGUUCAGUGACAAGGACACGAUCCCUUAUUGGCUGCUCACACUGGAACACUGCCAGUUUCUGUUUGUUGGACCACAGGACCAAGCUGAAGGCACAGAUGUUGGGAAAUGAACCCUGAACUCAAGUCUGCGGAGAAUUUUGCUCCUGGGUCACUCGAGGUUCCCUACACAAAUCUGUAUCUCAUACA